GCACUAAACCAAGCGGGAUUGAGGAUCGCCAAGUCUUUUGCGUCGUUUUUUUGCUCAUGUUUAGCGGCCGUUUUAUAAGGCGUUGCUUUGUCAACACUUGUAAGCGCUCGUUAGGCAUUGUGUAAAGGCACGUUCGACUUGAAGGUUGCUGUCAAAAUGGUUUUAAUCGACCCGUCUUGAAACACGGACCAAGGAGUGCAACAAACAUGCAAGUCGUAGGGUUUAAAACCUGAAGGCGCAAUGAAAGUAAAAUUUUCUAUUAACGAAAAUAGCAUUGCUGCCCGACUUUGCGGCUUAAAGCCAAAGAGUUUGAGGUUGAGCAUGUUUGCUGCGACCCGAAAGAUGGUGAACUAUGCCUGCAUAGGGCAAAGUCAGAGGAAACUCUGAUGGAGGCUCGUAGCGAUUCUGACGUGCAAAUCGAUCGUCAAAUGUGGGUAUAGGGGCGAAAGACUAAUCGAACCAUCUAGUAGCUGGUUUCCGCCGAAGUUUCCCUCAGGAUAGCAGAGAUUCACAUUAAAUUAGUUUUAUGAGGUAAAGCGAAUGAUUAGAGGAAUGGGGGGCGAAACGCUCUUCACCUAUUCUCAAACUUUAAAUAUGUAAGAUGUUCUUGUUGCUUAAUUGAACUUGGACUUUUAAAUGAAUAUAGAAUCUCUAGUGGGCCAUUUUUGGUAAGCAGAACUGGCGAUGCGGGAUGAACCGAACGUUAAGUUAAGGUGCCAAAAUAUACGCUUAUUUAGAUACCAUAAAAGGUGUUGGUUCAUCU
rnacentral:rRNA from 1 species